CCGUAACUAUAACGGUCCUAAGGUAGCGAAAUUCCUUGUCGGGUAAGUUCCGACCUGCACGAAUGGCGUAAUGAUGGCCAGGCUGUCUCCACCCGAGACUCAGUGAAAUUGAACUCGCUGUGAAGAUGCAGUGUACCCGCGGCAAGACGGAAAGACCCCGUGAACCUUUACUAUAGCUUGACACUGAACAUUGAGCCUUGAUGUGUAGGAUAGGUGGGAGGCUUUGAAGUGUGGACGCCAGUCUGCAUGGAGCCGACCUUGAAAUACCACCCUUUAAUGUUUGAUGUUCUAACGUGGACCCGUUACCCGGGUUGCGGACAGUGUCUGGUGGGUAGUUUGACUGGGGCGGUCUCCUCCUAAAGAGUAACGGAGGAGCACGAAGGUUGGCUAAUCCUGGUCGGACAUCAGGAGGUUAGUGCAAUGGCAUAAGCCAGCUUGACUGCGAGCGUGACGGCGCGAGCAGGUGCGAAAGCAGGUCAUAGUGAUCCGGUGGUUCUGAAUGGAAGGGCCAUCGCUCAACGGAUAAAAGGUACUCCGGGGAUAACAGGCUGAUACCGCCCAAGAGUUCAUAUCGACGGCGGUGUUUGGCACCUCGAUGUCGGCUCAUCACAUCCUGGGGCUGAAGUAGGUCCCAAGGGUAUGGCUGUUCGCCAUUUAAAGUGGUACGCGAGCUGGGUUUAGAACGUCGUGAGACAGUUCGGUCCCUAUCUGCCGUGGGCGCUGGAGAACUGAGGGGGGCUGCUCCUAGUACGAGAGGACCGGAGUGGACGCAUCACUGGUGUUCGGGUUGUCAUGCCAAUGGCACUGCCCGGUAGCUAAAUGCGGAAGAGAUAAGUGCUGAAAGCAUCUAAGCACGAAACUUGCCCCGAGAUGAGUUCUCCCUGAG
rnacentral:rRNA from 1 species